rnacentral:rRNA from 1 species
UACGAAGGGGGCUAGCGUUGCUCGGAAUCACUGGGCGUAAAGCGCACGUAGGCGGCUUUUUAAGUCAGGGGUGAAAUCCUGGAGCUCAACUCCAGAACUGCCUUUGAUACUGGGAAGCUUGAGUCCGGGAGAGGUGAGUGGAACUCCGAGUGUAGAGGUGAAAUUCGUAGAUAUUCGGAAGAACACCAGUGGCGAAGGCGACUACCUGGCCUGUUCUUGACGCUGAGGCGCGAAAGCUAGGGGAGCAAACGGG